rnacentral:rRNA from 1 species
CUACGGGUGGCUGCAGUGAGGAAUAUUGCACAAUGGGGGGAACCCUGAUGCAGCAACGCCGCGUGGAGGAUGACGCAUUUCGGUGUGUAAACUCCUUUUAUAUGUCAAGAAAAUGACGGUAGCAUAUGAAUAAGCACCGGCUAACUCCGUGCCAGCAGCCGCGGUAAUACGGAGGGUGCAAGCGUUACUCGGAAUCACUGGGCGUAAAGGACGCGUAGGCGGGUUGGAAAGUCAGGUGUGAAAUCCUACAGCUUAACUGUAGAACUGCACUUGAAACUUCUAAUCUAGAGUAUGGGAGGGGAGAUGGAAUUAGUGGUGUAGGGGUAAAAUCCCUAGAUAUCACUAGGAAUACCUAAAGCGAAGGCGAUCUCCUGGAACAUUACUGACGCUAAGGCGUGAAAGCGUGGGGAGCAAACAGGAUUAGAUACCCUAGUAGUC